rnacentral:rRNA from 1 species
UACGUAGGGGGCGAGCGUUGUCCGGAUUUAUUGGGCGUAAAGAGCUCGUAGGUGGUUUGGUAAGUCGGAUGUGAAAUCUCCAGGCUCAACCUGGAGGGGUCAUUCGAUACUGCCAUGACUAGAGUUCGGUAGGGGAGUGUGGAAUUCCUGGUGGAGCGGUGAAAUGCGCAGAUAUCAGGAGGAACACCGGUGGCGAAGGCGGAUCUCUGGGCCUUACCUGACGCUGAGGCGCGAAAGCUAGGGGAGCAAACAGG